AGGAUUAAUUCCUUACCUGGUAUAUGAGGAAAAUCAAGUUUCAUAUUUGUAUGUGUAUGUAUACAUGUUUAUGAUUCUUUUAAUGCAUUCAAAUGAGCACCACAUCUAGCUAAUGCACAAAUGUCAAUUUUUAUAUUCAGGUGGGUUAACUUCAGGAUAAGUUGAGCAUCAAGUUCUUCAUGUACCAAAGAUAAAUAAUAACAAACUGGAAGUCUGAAGCCAGAAUUAACAUUUUGUAAGACCUGAUGUCAUAUAGAGAAUCCGUGAUACAAAUUUUCUGUAGGAAUGAUAGCAUUAAUCUAGUGCCCUCCAAAAUGUUGGAUUGCAGCUUCCACAAUUUUGUUUGUCCUUGCUGUGUAACAACUAUAGAAAUUAUACUGUAGACCCAUACUUCUAGAGGGCACCAAAUUGGAAAACUCAGCUCUAUGGUCUUGGACCAUUUCUGUGCGGAAUCACUUGAACUCAGUUCUUCGUUCUUUCAGCAGUUACCUUCUUUGGGAUUCAUAAGGGUGAGAUUUAUAUUCCUCAACAAGUAUAUAACCCUCUGUCUCAGUGCAGUUAUUGUAACUGGGAAUUAGUGGUGAACAGCAUUCCAAGAAUAAGAUAGAUUUGCCACUCUGAUUAAGCAGAUUCCAGUGAACAUGACAGUGAUAGACCUAAAAUUGAAAAAGUUAAAUUUUGCACAACCCUUUUCUCUAGCUAUCUACCAUCACCAUGUUUACAACACUGGAAUUGUGCAAAUUCUGUGUUUAAAAUGGAUUCUGUAAUAUAGAGUAGUUCUUAACUUUGUUAAAUAUAUUUAAACAUAUUACCUGCAUUUCUACAGAAAAGGUAAUACUUUUAACACUUUUCCUUAGCUGUAAACUGAAUGAAAGCUGCUUUGGCUGACACUCAAAGCAACAUAAAUGUAUUGUAGAAUAACAUUUUAUGAAAGUCCUAACCUCACUUGCCAAUGAACUGGCACCUUAGAAUAUUGUAAACUACCUUAAGUGCUUAUACAAGCAGAAAUGUGGGCUAUAAAUUCAAUAAUAAAGAUACAAACAUA